rnacentral:rRNA from 1 species
UACGUAGGGGGCAAGCGUUGUCCGGAAUCAUUGGGCGUAAAGCGCGCGUAGGCGGCCCUGUAAGUCCGUUGUGAAAGUCGAAGGCUCAACCUUCGAAAGCCGAUGGAUACUGCAGGGCUAGAGUCCGGAAGAGGCGAGUGGAAUUCCUGGUGUAGCGGUGGAAUGCGCAGAUAUCAGGAGGAACACCAAUUGCGAAGGCAGCUCGCUGGGACGGUAUUGACGCUGAGACGCGAAAGCGUGGGGAGCAAACAGG